rnacentral:rRNA from 1 species
CACGUAGGGGGCGAGCGUUGUCCGGAAUCAUUGGGCGUAAAGAGCUCGUAGGCGGCUCUGUAAGUCGGGUGUGAAACCCCCAGGCUCAACCUGGGGACGCCACCCGAUACUGCUGUGGCUAGAGUCCAGUAGGGGAGUGUGGAAUUCCCGGUGUAGCGGUGAAAUGCGCAGAUAUCGGGAGGAACACCAGCGGCGAAGGCGGCACUCUGGGCUGGAACUGACGCUGAGGAGCGAAAGCGUGGGUAGCAAACAGG